AUGCCUCUCGUUAGAAGCUUUACACAUUCGUUUGAACUAAAACCUCUCGCAUAGAGCUCUACUCCUUCGUAUUCUGUAAGAACAUAUUGUUUAAGAUGAAUUCCAAAGUGCUCAUGUCGUUCCUCGUUGUUGCCCUGAUUUCGUCGUUGUUUUGUCAUCAAAGCCAUGCGUUUAAUAUCGGAAUGGGAGGCAUAAACGGAAAACGACAGUUUGGAAGCUGUGUAGAGACCGCAAAUCGACUUCAGCAUUUGUGCUCCAUGGCUGAGACUGUCUGCCCACAAGCUACAAAGCGGGAAGAAAAUGGGGAGCAUUAGUGUAAUUGUACUGGAAACUAAUCAACGCUCGACUUGCAAACACGCUGAUUUCUUACUUGUAACUAUUGACAGAACUAAAUGUUUACUGCCGUGUAGAGGAAAAAAAGCUUCAAAUGAAUCUUGUUUCAAACCUCUUAGCAUUAAAAUACUACUUGUUUGCAUAGAAUAAAGAAAUUGAUGAUAGAAUUAAAUAAAGCGAUGAAUCAAAUUCAAAUAUGAUGA